CCCUUAGAUGUUCUGGGCGGCCCGCGCACUACAAUGGCGCUUUCAGCGAGUUCCUAUGUUGAAUUUUCCUUGGUAUUCUUGGAAGCGGCGUCUUGACUUGGGAUAGAUCCUUGUAAUUGUUGGUUUUGAACGAGGAAUUCCUUGUAAUCGCGGUUGAUCAGCUCGCGUUGAAUACGUCCCUGCCCUUUGUACACACCGCCCGUCGCUCCUACCGAUGAAUCGUCCGGUGAAGUUCACAGAGUGGCGGUUCGUGGAGUUGCUCGCGAAGUGAAAUGGACCUCACGAUUUAGAGGAAGGAGAAGGCGUAACA
rnacentral:rRNA from 1 species